rnacentral:lncRNA from 1 species
UUAAUUUUUCAUGAUGUAGAGCCGGGCCCUGCUCUUAGUCUUGAAUUUCUACAAUAAUUACAUAUGCACUACAUUGGUUGACAAAUUUAAAUAAUAUAGAAAUUAAAGAGACUGACAGCAUGCUUGCAUCCAUAGGCAACGAUAUUAACUUUCUUUCCGCCUCAAUAUGAACCUGAUAUAACAUGCAGGUAUAAAAAUUAAAAACCACAAUAUAACACUUGAAAGGAUAUAAAUUCCAUUACUUUUCUUAUUUGUUAAAAGACCAAAAUACCCCUGUUUAAAUGAAAUAUGAAUUGUGCAAAGAAAAAUAAAGAAAUCAUGUUUGCUCUAUUAUUGUUGCUAAUAAACCAACAUUCCACUGAUCUGUAUCUAAACAAACUUUUUAUAAAACAAAGUAGAAUCAUCUUAAACAAAGCAAUAUCAUCUAAACAUAACUAAAUGUGUGGCCAUAAAAGAUAAAAAUGUAAAUAAACAUGCCUUUGAGUUUAUGAAGUACGUGCAACUUCAAAUUGCCUCUGUAGACACUCAUAAUUCAUUUUAUAGCCUAUCUAAUAAACCUUUCUGUUGCCAUAAUUUUGCAGACUCUGAAAGUUUCAAAACAGAUUCAGCCGCCCCAUUGGGAUCUUCUUCAAACAAUAAUAAACUAUGGCUAACCCACACCCAUCAGUAUUAUUGGCUAUUUCACCUUUUAUGAAUUUGAAAUUUAUAAAUUAAAUCAAAGUGAAAAUAUAAAACUAAAGAAAUCUAAAACCGAAAUUAUAAUAUACUUUUUUCAUUACAACGGGUAGAUGUUUCAAAUUACAAUGCUACAACAGGUAGACAUGAAAGAAUGAUGCAAUACUAAAAAAAUAAAUGAAUGUACAUUGCCAUUUUUUGCAUUUGAAAGAAAUAUUUUAACACAAAACAGGCAAAAAAUGAUCCAAAAAUGCAGAAUGUAACUUAGGGGAGGGGGUUUACCAGAUAAUCAGCUUCAAUGCUAUCUCAUCUGAAAAUAAAGCACUUAACAAGUUCAUGCACGGAUGCACCUUUUAAUCAAUCUCAUAUUAAAAGGUUUACAACUACAAAAUAUGAUCUGAUUCUCAGAAACCCAACCAAAAAAAAAAGAAUCAGUAUAAAAACUUAUUAAUUGUUUUACAUUCCAAUACACGGAGGAAAUACAUAAGAUUUAAAGUCAUUGAGAACCAAAAACUCAUCAUGCAUCAAAUAUUUUAAGUAUGUUAGUGAUGAAUUUAACCAAAUUUACCAGAAUAUGCUCUAUUGAUAAAAAUCAGAUGCAAAACCUGCCACUAUUUAAAUGUUAGUCAAACAUGCAAAUAACUCACUUUGUUCUUGAGCUUGAUCUACACCUGGAUUACAGAAGAGCUACCAUUAGCUAAAAAAACGUAGCACUAUAAACACUCCAUAUUAGUUUUCAACCAAGUAUUAUUCACAUUACACCCCCUGUUAUCAAAUGCAAUAUCAAAUUUCAUUUUAUCAAUUAAUUAAAUACCAACCUUUCCCACUAAUGGAUUAAUGAUCAUAAACCCACCAUACAUUAUAAUAAUAUCAAGAUUAGAAAGAGUGGGGAGAGAAAAAGUAGGUCGCAUAUCCAUUUUAAAGUGAAAGUAUCAGCAGUCAUCAUUAAUUCUUGCUUCAAGUUUUCUGCUUUUAUUGGGGGUUAUUUUUCAAAUGUUUCAAAGUACAACUUACAUCUCCACCCGAAUCCCAACACCUUGGAAUCUACAGCUUAGAAGAAAACAAUUUUUCUUGGAACAUUCAUAAUCAUUUCUACCGGGCAUUUUAUCAAACACCUAUUAUGCAUACCAUUAAGCACCAAUUACUACUACAUCAAUUGCUUGUUGCUACAUAAAAAAGCAACUUGAUUUCAUGAGACGCGAUUUGAUUUUACAAAUGAACUCUUUAUCGGAUGCGAACCAACAAAGACACGAAAUCUAUAUGAUGAGUCCGUCGGGUGCGGGAAUAAUCCCUUCCAAUUCUGGUGAGGAUUGGUUCAAGAUCAAAGUAAAAACUUUAGUUUGAUUUUAGUUCAUAGAACCAACAAAAAUAGAGUCGGAAAUCUGAUGAAGUAAAGGAAAUCACAUAAGUAAUGGGGAAGAGGAGCUAUUACCUUGUAUUUAUGGAAAACAUCAGCGACUCAGUUAAACCAAACAUUUGGAGAUCGCUUACUUCAAUCUCAAACUCAAUAAAUUAAGAAGCAAAAAUAGAAGAUUGACAAAAAAAAAAUCGAACACAUGAUACAUCGUCUAAACACCAUAAAAAACACACACGAAAAUCAAACUAUUUACAUGAUGUUUCGAUCCAUAAAUCAAAAUAAAAAAAUAAAAAUAAAGAAAUCGGUGAGGUCAUCCAUCCUUGGUGUUUCAAUUAUAGGAAAGAAAAUGGAGUGACAUGGGAGAAGGGGGGACGAAAGAUGUGAGAAAAAUUGUUAUUUUAAAAGAGGGUGAAGCUGAGAGAUGUUUAUUUUGUAGCUUUGAAGAGUAGAGAUGGAGAUCGGACUUUAGCGCGAGAAAAGGAGAAGAGAUCCACAGGAGUAUAUGAGAUUUUGAAAUUGUAACGGGGAUGCUUAUCUAACUCAAGGAAUAAGAAUUGCUGAUUUAACGGGAUUGAAUUUAAAUAUAUGAUUUAAGUUGUUGGAAGCUGCCGUAAAUAAUGAUACAAAUUUAAAGUCUAAAUAGUAAUUUAAA